rnacentral:rRNA from 1 species
GACGAACGCUGGCGGCGUGCUUAACACAUGCAAGUCGAACGAAGUGGCGAACGGGUGAGUAACGCGUAAUCAACCUGCCCUUAAGAGGGGGACAACAGUUGGAAACGACUGCUAAUACCGCAUACUGAAGGAGGGGAUUGCGUCUGAUUCGCUAGUUGGAGGGGUACCGGCCCACAAGGGCGAUUAUCAGUAGCCGGUCUUACAGGAUGAACUGCCACAUUGGUACUGAGACACGCCCCAGACUCCUACGGGAGGCAGCAGUGGGGAAGCUUCCGCAAUGGACGAAAGUCUGACGGAGCAACGCCGCGUGAGUGAUGACGGCCUUCGGGUUGUAAAGCUCUGUUAAUCGGGACGCGGUACCGGAAUAGAAAGCCACGGCUAACUACGUGCCAGCAGCCGCGGUAAUAC